AAUACUCCUUGUAAAGAAUACGCAGUAAGUACAAAAUAAAAAAUCCGCACGUCUAUUAUGAUACAAAACACAGGUUAAAAUAAGAAAUGAUAACUUUGACUUUUUUCCUUGUGUAAACAUGUUAAUCAUUUUUUUCCUUUUCAUGAAAAAGUACACCAGACAAGUGUCCUCAAAUAAAAACUACUGCUUCGCUGGCACUCUUCAGGACCUUUACUGUUUAUCAUUCUUUUGAACAUUACUGAUAUUUUUAACGCCUGGACCUGAGAAUCUCUAGACCUCAAAAAGGCUUAGAUUUUUUAGAAAAACGUUUCCCACAAGUCAAGGAAGCCCCUUGUGCUUAGGCCAAGGGAGUGCCCCCACCAGUACCCUCUUCCUCCGCACCCCGGGUCGGGGCCUGCAGCAUAGGGCGAUU
rnacentral:lncRNA from 1 species